AGCAGGACAUAUCCCCAGAGGUGAUCCAGUCUAGAAGGGACAACAGGCAGGAGAGAUGGUGAUUAUGAUGAGGCCUGAGUGUUAGAUUGCUGCUGGAUAACAUCUGUAUAAUAUGUUAAUGACUUUCUCUUGUAUUUUAACGUUUUCUACUAAGGAACUGUUUCCUCUGGGAGGUUUUUACCAUAACUCAAAAGCAAAGCUUUGCAUUUGCGAGGGAAGAUUUUUGAAGCCCAGGGCAAAUUACAGCCAUGAAUGUGUUUGCUCACCUUGGAACUGAAAACAGCUUUAUCAGAAGCUCUAGGUACAAGGAAGCCCAGGUGUUUAUGAUCUAUGGGGGCUUGAUAUUUAUCUAAGAAUUAAGAGGAAAGUGAAAAGAACUUCUGAUUUGAAGAGAUAAAAGAUGAAGGAGACAGACUGAUCACGGGCCUCUGAGUAUGUUCUCAGCACAGGGGCCAGGCGUGUGGGUGGUGGCAGGCAGAUUUCACCACAAUCAAUAACACAGUAAAAAUCUCAGCCAUGUUGAGGUAAAAUCCACAAGCAGCUGUCCUAUUCUCUCUUCCCCAGGCUGUCCAGUUAGCCUGGGGACAGCAGAACAAGGCCAUCUGGCAAAAGUAUUUGCAAAGAUGGGCGUGGUAUUAUGCACCCAACUUUCUCUUGGCACUUAUAUCAUGCGGAGGGAAUCUGGACAGUCCUGGAUAUUUCAGAAAAUGCAGACCAUUAACGCUGCUUGACGAAUUUAUUCCAUCUAAAUAUUUGUCAGACCUCAGAGGGAGGAGUCGCUGGGAAUCUGAGGCAACAGAGACAGCAUGGGGUGGAGCCUGCUAAACCGGAGGUGAUAGACGUACUUUCGGAGAGAUGUCACCAUGCAUUAUAUCGUGGAAGGGCACCCUUGUUCCAAAAGCCACAUAAAUGCUCAAGUCUAUGUGAACAGAGACCACUCAGGGAGCAGCGAAGAUGUAGCCAAAGUGCCCAAGCACGCAGAGGACAAUAUGCAAGUCAUUCACCUUAGCAUGCCCAGGGCACUUCCGCUUACUCAGGCCUUUCCUGAAGGCACAUCCUGUCACUCGCUGAGAUAAGAGGGUAUUUGUAAUGACUAGUCAUUUAUCUAAAGGACAGUUAUACUGAGGGUAGGUGUGUACUGUUUUCUAGAACUGGCAGAAAUUCUAAAGUGAAGCAAAAUUAAUCUUUAAAAGAAAGUCUGAACAGAGCAUGCGCGCGCGGCCUCGGUGCCCAGCGGCUAACCAAAGGUCCUCAACUCAAGGCCCAGAAAUCAACUGUGCAGUGGUGGGAGCACAUCGAACAUAGAGUGUUCCCAGCUGCGGGCGUGAAAGACUUCCUACGGAAAUAAUAUUCGAGGUGAAUUGAAGUUGGAGUAUAUUUCAGAAAGUUGAAAAAAAAAAAAAAGCCUCCUGAGUCAAGGGAUAUGGGUACAGAACGUUCUGGAAACCGACGCCAUUUUAGAAAAGUACAGAGGGUGGUGGGGAAGAUGGUUUACUCAGGGAAGUGCGGUGCGAGUACCUGCGCUCCCAUCCUAUGUCCACAUAAAAAGACUGAUAGACAGGCGGGUGCAUACCUGCGACCCCAGAGGAGGAUCCCCAGGGCCCACGGACUUGUCAGUCUAGCAAAAUCAGCUCAGGUUCAGCAAGACAACCUGUCUUCAAAAAUAUGACUGAGGGUGAUUGAGGAAGAUACCCACAGUGACCUCUGGCCUCCAUACCUGCGUGCACAUGAGCACCCACCGGUGUCUGCAUGUGUACAUAUGUGAAUACAUGCAGACACACACCAAAAGAAAAAAGUAGUUUCAAGAGUGGCCAUUUUGAGCAGGUAGACAGCAAUCUACUGCCUUAGCUCUGAGUGGUUGGGAGGCAGAAGGAGGGGGAAGGGGCAGGGGACAGCCCCGCCCCGUUCUCUAAGGCCUCUGCACUCUGCAGCAGGGACGCAGGACCCUGGUAUACUUCCUACAGUGGUGCAAUUUGCUCAUUAAGGCACCCCACUGGCAUCCUAGUUGGGAGGCACCUCCUUAAUUUCACAGGAAGACUUCAUGUAAAUUAACAGAGAGCUUUUGAAUGUGGCCAGCUUGGCAAUGCCUCGGGAGUUAAAGGCUUUGGACUUGAAGAACAGAAGGGAGCUACUGAAGGUCGCUGAGCAGGGGCUGGCAUAGCAAGAGCAGUCAUUCCCACAGCAGCUGUACGAAGGCCAGAGUGGAGUCAAGAGACUCCAGAAAUUACCAUCUCUGUCCAGGCAUGGAGCCUCGAUGGUAUCCAUGGCAACAGAAAGAAGACGAUACGAAAAUUAUUUUGAAAGCAGAAACAACAGGACUUGAUUACUGAUUGGAUAUGGGUGUGUGGAGGAGGCAGGAGCGAUGAAUGACUCAGGGGUUUUGUGCUUUGGAGGCUUGUGGGAAUAAAUCUGAAAUAGGAACGCUAAUCAGAGAUGCUGCUGUGAGACAGGAAAAGGAGAGCGUGGUUUGAGGCGCUGGAUUUCACAUAAUGACGGAAUACUUAAGUAGAAAUGUUCUCUGUACACCAGAAAGGAUAUGGUUUUCCCCCCCUCUGCUUCUCUAGCUUUUAAUGCAUAUGAGAAGCCCUUUUGGAAGGAGGGGAUCUAGGGAAUAAAUUCGUUGCUUCUCUUACUUCUAAUAAGCUACGGCAGAAGGCCUUCAUCGGCACCUUUGGCUUUGUCUUCAUGCGAACACAAAGAAUUAUUCAGCACCUAUUUGUGCCUGAUGGUUGAACAGACAUGAUUCACAGUAACAGCUUUUGAACCUGAGAGGGCUCCAGGCCGAGAGAGCUGACAUUUACAAGACCAGCCCUCAGAGAAAACAGGAGGGCAGUACUCACUGAACCACGGCUGUGCGAGGUUAAAGGUCAUGCUCACGUGCUACACGGAGAAACCAUGGAGAGGGAGGGAUAUGGUCCAAAUCAGAACAGUGGGGACCAGGGUACUGGGAGUUUGAGAUAAAAAAAAAAAUUACCUAGAAUUCUUUUUCUUUUUCUUUUUGGAUAGAACUAGUGUGCGUCAUCCUUUCCUUGGGAAAGAAAAGUAGACUUCCAAUCUAUAGUUAUUAAUUUAAUUAACCUAUGAUCCAACCAAUUCUGUAACAUCCAAAGUACCGUGCGGCUGACCUUCGGGAAUGCUGGGCCUCAUAUCUAAAUCCCCGAGAAAGUCCACAGUGUUUUAUGAUGAAAUUUAGUUGCUUAUUAAACAUAUCAGAGAGUUAGAACCCCCAAAAGAGGACUUGUGGGGACAGCAUCUCCCACAAGCUUCCUUUCCCAUCUAGGACACAGUCCCACUAUAUGAAAGAUUCAGGCAGAUCUCCUCGCCGUCCCGUGGGAGCAGCGCAAGCCUCCACACAUGUAUUUCUAUUUAGUCGCUGAGUUCCUGGGUUGCACGAAGGACUUGCUGAGCCCUAUCAACUGGAUGGAGCAGCGCUGUGCACUGGGACACUGGUCAGGCUCUGGGCGUGCCGUUCUCUUUCACCCCUCUGCCUAUGAGCUGUUAGGGAGAGUUGGUGAAGCCAUGUGUGGAUGCUGAGGAGAUUAAAAGGCUCCAAGGCACCACCCCCAGAGCCUGCUGGGAAGAGUGGGGGUCCCGUUCUCCUGUGCUGGCGCCAGUAGGGUUUCCGAUCUGACCUAAGAACUAGUGGGAUUAACUUUCUCUGUAAGGGGUAGGCACCGAAUCUUCACGGUCAACCUUUACAUAACCUGUUUCCCUUCACUACCUCAGAGGGACUUUCCUAAAGCAAGGAUCCUUGUCUUUGCAGCCUCCUCGCUGUACACAAGCUUGGUUUCUUUUCUCCCCGGCAGCUUCCUCCAGAGCCUCGGCCUCACCAGCAUCCUCUGACUCACAGUUUCGUUUCUCGUAAGUGGAUGCUGAGAGCCGUCGCUCUCUCUAUUGGAGUGAUGGACUAAAAACAUUCAAGAGAGAAAAACAACUGACACAGUCACACUUGAACCAUGUGGGAUGCUCCCCAUCUCCCAGCUUUUCCUGUCUUUCUCCUUGGCUGUCUACUCGUCAACCUGCUUGUCACAGUGGUUGUCAACCUGUCAGGUGUCUACACAGAAAACACUCUCAGAAGAUAAACUAUUGACCCUGUACCUGUAAAGGGUAGAAGUGACCACUGCUCAUCACAAUGGAUUAAGGUUCACAACGCCCAAGUCCCUUGCAUGUUAAACAUCUACUCCAUGGGCAGAUGUUGCUCACCCUUCUUCACAGUCUCUACGGCUAUUCCAGCUCUCUCUCUCUCUCUCUCUCUCUCUCUCUCUCUCUCUCUCCUUCCCUUCCUCCCUCUCUGUCUCUCUCCCUCCCUCUCUGUCUCUCUCCCUCUCUCUCUGUCUCUCUCCUCAUAUUAUUAUUCCUAUGCUCUGCCUAUUUCUAGUACUCUGAGUAAUAAUGCCUUUAGUUUUAGCCUGAAUAGUUUUGUGUGUUCUAUGAAAAGCAUCUAAGAAACUAGCCAGCUAAUAUAUUCACUUACAAGUGGGGGGGGGGAGCUCAAUCCCUCACAGUUCUUGACAUUUUUUUCAGCUGUCAGUAAGAACAUUAGGCAGAUGAAAACUUAGAGGCUAAACUUUCCGCUCCAUCAACAUCUUGAAAUGGUUAACUCCCCUCUCCACUCUCUCCACUCCCGCCCACCUCUCUCUAGUCUAAUGUACCUUCCUGGCCUCCAUAAUGAUGGGCUGUAAUAGCCCAUUUAUUCAGUAGAGUGGUUUCUAAAACCCAUUUCCAGAUUACAGCCGGUGUGCCAGGACUGCGUUUAUUUUCAUUACUAGAGAAAGGGUGGCUCGGCCUGGUAACGCUGACUUUUCAAUAGCUCCAUCAGAAAGCGCUCUGACCACCUUCUCACCACUCACCAAAUGCUGCAGAGUCCUCCUGAAACAUUCCCCUUCCUUCACACCAUGAACAAAAGUGUCACCAUAUAGUGAACCCCACUGUUCAAGCUCCUCAGUCGGUCAGACAGCAGCGGCUGGAAGGUUUGUAGAAAGUUCUUCUCUCUGUUCUGGCUUGUCUCUACCAGAAAGCCAUCUCAGACUCAAGACAGUGUACUCUCCUACCCUCUAAAACCUCUGGCCUGGAGAGGACUCAAAGAUCGAAGAGUUCAAAUCAAUCAAGCCAGCAACAUUUUAAUAUGACUGAUUCACAGUGAUAGUCUAAAGAAACAGAUAUCUGUCAUUUCAGGUUAAUUCAAUAAAUACAUGAAUAAAUGAUAAUUAUGUGUUGGAUGACAAAAAAG